CCUACGGGCGGCAGCAGUGGGGAAUAUUGGACAAUGGGGGGAACCCUGAUCCAGCGACGCCGCGUGAGUGAAGAAGUAUUUCGGUAUGUAAAGCUCUAUCAGCAGGGAAGAAAGAAAUGACGGUACCUGACUAAGAAGCCACGGCUAACUACGUGCCAGCAGCCGCGGUAAUACGUAGGGGGCAAGCGUUAUCCGGAUUUACGGGGUGUAAGGGGAGCGUAGACGGCGAUGCAAGUCUGAAGUGAAAGGCGGGGGCCCAACCCCUGGACUGCUUUGGAAACUGUAUGGCUGGAGUGCAGGAGAGGUAAGUGGAAUUCCUAGUGUAGCGGUGAAAUGCGUAGAUAUUAGGAGGAACACCAGUGGCGAAGGCGGCUUACUGGACUGUAACUGACGUUGAGGCUCGAAAGCGUGGGGAGCAAACAGGAUUAGAUACCCGGGUAGUC
rnacentral:rRNA from 1 species